UACGGAGGGUGCGAGCGUUGUCCGGAAUCACUGGGCGUAAAGGGCGCGUAGGCGGCCUGAUAAGUAGGGGGGUGAAAAUCCUGCGGCUUAACCGCAGGGCUGCCUUCUAAACUGUCAGGCUAGAGCACAGUAGAGGCAGGUGGAAUUCCCGGUGUAGCGGUGGAAUGCGUAGAGAUCGGGAAGAACAUCAGUGGCGAAGGCGGCCUGCUGGGCUGUUGCUGACGCUGAGGCGCGACAGCGUGGGG
rnacentral:rRNA from 1 species